rnacentral:rRNA from 1 species
GACGAACGCUGGCGGCGCGCUUAACACAUGCAAGUCGAGCGAGAACCAAGCCUUCGGGCCUGGGGACAGCGGCGAACGGGUGAGUAACACGUGGGUAAUCAACCCUCGGUACUGGGAUAGCCCGGGGAAACCCGGAUUAAUACCGGAUGGCCCUUCGGAUCUUCGGUUCUGAAGGAAAAGGUAGCUUCGGCCUCCGACCGAGGACGAGCCCGCGGCGGAUUAGCUUGUUGGUGGGGUAACGGCCUACCAAGGCGGCGAUCCGUAGCUGGUCUGAGAGGACGAUCAGCCACACUGGGACUGAGACACGGCCCAGACUCCUACGGGAGGCAGCAGUGGGGAAUCUUGCGCUAAUGCGGGAAACCGUGACGCAGCGACGCCGCGUGAGGGAAGAAGGCCUUCGGGUUGUAAACCUCUUUCAGGAGGGACGAAGCUACUCGGGUUAAUAGCCUAGAGGGUGACGGUACCUCCAGAAGAAGCCCCGGCUAACUACGUGCCAGCAGCCGCGGUAACAC